rnacentral:rRNA from 1 species
AGCGAACGCUGGCGGCAGGCCUAACACAUGCAAGUCGAACGAACCCUUCCGGUCUAGUGGCGCACGGGUGCGUAACGCGUGGGAAUCUGCCCUUGGGUUCGGAAUAACAGUUAGAAAUGACUGCUAAUACCGGAUGAUGACGUAAGUCCAAAGAUUUAUCGCCCAAGGAUGAGCCCGCGUAGGAUUAGCCUGUUGGUGAGGUAAAAGCUCACCAAGGCGACGAUCCUUAGCUGGUCUGAGAGGAUGAUCAGCCACACUGGGACUGAGACACGGCCCAGACUCCUACGGGAGGCAGCAGUGGGGAAUAUUGGACAAUGGGCGAAAGCCUGAUCCAGCAAUGCCGCGUGAGUGAUGAAGGCCUUAGGGUUGUAAAGCUCUUUUACCCGGGAUGAUAAUGACAGUACCGGGAGAAUAAGCCCCGGCUAACUCCGUGCCAGCAGCCGCAGUAAAAC